rnacentral:rRNA from 1 species
GAUGAACGCUGGCGGCGUGCCUAAUACAUGCAAGUCGAGCGAACGGACGAGAAGCUUGCUUCUCUGAUGUUAGCGGCGGACGGGUGAGUAACACGUGGAUAACCUACCUAUAAUACUGGGAUAACUUCGGGAAACCGGAGCUAAUACCGGAUAAUAUUUUGAACCGCAUGGUUCAAAAGUGAAACACGGUUUUGCUGUCACUUAUAGAUGGAUCCGCGCUGCAUUAGCUAGUUGGUAAGGUAACGGCUUACCAAGGCAACGAUGCAUAGCCGACCUGAGAGGGUGAUCGGCCACACUGGAACUGAGACACGGUCCAGACUCCUACGGGAGGCAGCAGUAGGGAAUCUUCCGCAAUGGGCGAAAGCCUGACGGAGCAACGCCGCGUGAGUGAUGAAGGUCUUCGGAUCGUAAAACUCUGUUAUUAGGGAAGAAAAGAUGUGUAAGUAACUGUGCACAUCUUGACGGUACCUAAUCAGAAAGCCACGGCUAACUACGUG